GCAAGUCGAGCGAGAAGAUUAUGAAUGAUCCUUCGGGUGAGUGAUUAGUUGGAAAGCGGCGGACGGGUGAGUAACGCGUGAGUAACCUGCCCCAUACACAGGGAUAGCCAUUGGAAACGAUGAUUAAUACCUGAUGAUACCUUAAUGACACAUGUUAUAAAGGUUAAAGAUUUAUCGGUAUGGGAUGGACUCGCGUCUGAUUAGCUAGUUGGUAAGGUAACGGCUUACCAAGGCGACGAUCAGUAGCCGACCUGAGAGGGUGAUC
rnacentral:rRNA from 1 species